UACGUAGGGGGCGAGCGUUGUCCGGAAUCAUUGGGCGUAAAGAGCGUGUAGGUGGACUGGAAGGUCUGGUGUGAAAGCCCGGGGCUACAACCCCGGGAGGGUCACUGGAAACCAACAGUCUUGAGUCUGGAAGAGGAGAGUGGAAUUCCUGGUGUAGCGGUGGAAUGCGCAGAUAUCAGGAGGAACACCGAUGGCGAAGGCAGAUCUCUGGGCCGUAACUGACGCUGAGGAGCGAAAGCGUGGGGAGCGAACAGG
rnacentral:rRNA from 1 species